rnacentral:rRNA from 1 species
AUUGAACGCUGGCGGCAGGCCUAACACAUGCAAGUCGAACGAGUGGCGGACGUGUGAGUUAUGUCUGUGAACCUGCCUGAUGGAGGGGGAUCACUACUGGACACUGUCGCUAAUACCGCAUCCUAUCGUAUUGCCCCAGAUGGGCUUAGCUUGUUGGUGGGGUAACGGCUCACCAAGGCGACGAUCCUUAGCUGGUCUGAGAGGAUGACCAGCCACAUUGGAACUGAGACACGGUCCAGACUCCUACGGGAGGCAGCAGUGGGGAAUAUUGCACAAUGGGCGCAAGCCUGAUGCAGCCAUGCCGCGUGUAUGAAGAAGGCCUUCGGGUUGUAAAGUACUUUCAGCGGGGAGGCGUUACCCGCAGAAUAAGCACCGGCUAACUCCGUGCCAGCCGCCGCGGUAAUUC